CGCGCAGGCGGGCUGGUCAGUCUGGGGUGAAAUCUCACGGCUCAACCGUGAGAGGUCCCUGGAUACUGCUAGCCUUGAGGGGCUCAGAGGAGAGUGGAAUUCCGGGUGUAGUGGUGGAAUGCGUAGAUAUCCGGAGGAACACCAGUGGCGAAAGCGGCUCUCUGGGGGCAACCUGACGCUGAGCGCGAAGCGUGGGAGCGAACC
rnacentral:rRNA from 1 species